rnacentral:rRNA from 1 species
CGGGUUUUUGGAUCAAGGGUGGCCUCUACAUGUAAGCUACUGUUUGAAGAUGAGCCCGCGUACCAUUAGCUAGUUGGUGGGGUAAUGGCCUACCAAGGCUUCGAUGGUUAGCUGGUCUGAGAGGAUGAUCAGCCACACUGGAACUGACACACGGUCCAGACUCCUACGGGAGGCAGCAGUGAGGAAUUUUGCGCAAUGGGGGAAACCCUGACGCAGCAACGCCGCGUGAGUGAUGAAGGCUUUCGGGUCGUAAAGCUCUGUCAAGUGGGAAGAACCUGCAGUAUGCUAAUAUCAUAUUGCACUGACGGUACCACUGAAGGAAGCACCGGCUAACUCCGUGCCAGCAGCCGCGGUAAUACGGGGGGUGCAAGCGUUAUUCGGAAUCAUUGGGCGUAAAGAGCACGUAGGCGGCCUGGUAAGUCAGAUGUGAAAGCCCGGGGCUUAACCCCGGAAGUGCAUUUGAUACUGUCAGGCUUGAGUAUGGGAGAGGGAAGUGGAAUUCCUGGUGUAGAGGUGAAAUUCGUAGAUAUCAGGAGGAACACCGGUGGCGAAGGCGACUUCCUGGACCAAUACUGACGCUGAGGUGCGAAGGCGUGGGUAGCAAACAGGAUUAGAUACCCUGGUAGUCCACGCAGUAAACGUUGUUCACUAGGUGUAGCGGGUAUUGACCCCUGCUGUGCCGCAGUUAACGCAUUAAGUGAACCGCCUGGGGAGUACGGCCGCAAGGUUAAAACUCAAAGGGAAUUGACGGGGGCCCGCACAAGCGGUGGAGCAUGUGGUUUAAUUCGACGCAACGCGAG